GCCCCAAGCAACUCAAAGAAUUCAGGAAAAUCAGCUGGACGCCACGAGCAAGUGAAGACUUCCCGGAUACAGUUCCAAAGGAAUUGAGUCAUCGCGUAUGAGAAGAUGUGAUUCACGUCAUCCUCAACCACACACGAAGGAUGUUGGCCAUCUCUAGGUUCGUUACGCUUACUCACCCCGGUGUUCGAGGGAAGCCUACCCCUAAUGAGUUGCUAAACAAAUAUAUUUAUCUUAAAUGGCUA
rnacentral:lncRNA from 1 species